UCAAGCUUUGAUAACAUGUUGAAAACACACAGGAGAGUUAAAAACAAAGCUCCAGUUAAAAAUAUAAAGAAUCAUUCCUUCUCGACUCUAUGUUCUACAUCAAGAAAAUUUUUCAGAUAAAGAAUCAUUUGGACCAUAAGCACGAAACUAGUAGACUCCCACAUGGCAUUAUGCACCGAAUUCAGUAAGUCUUAACUGUGCUCCCAUUACCUUGGAACAAAGCUUUGAAGAGCUGUUGCCCACAACUUGAGCCUAAAAGAUAAGGACCUCGGGUGUAAUUGUCAGACAAAAGGAGAUAAGCAUAAACGGUAGUAAAAUACUUCACCGCAGAAUUUCUGUCGGAGAAAUUUGACGGACAUAAACAUGAGGCUGAUGGGGAAAUUUUUGGGAGUUCUUAAGAUCGAGUCUCAGAAAGAGUCAAUAAUCAAGAACUUGGGAGAUGGAGCACUUGAAUCGAGAGAUGUGGAUAGUCCAAGGAAUUUAUGGUGCUCAUCGCCCAAUGCACGUAAAACCAACUGCAUCCCAUCUGCAAACCAAUUCCUUGAUGUUCUUAUUGCCUUGUUUGUAUAUGUGGAAGUGUUGUUCAAUAGAUUUUCGCUUAUCUGCUGCUUCACAAAAAGACGAAACCUUUUGUAUACAGUAUUUUGUUUGGA
rnacentral:misc_RNA from 1 species